CAGCAGCCGCGGGAAAACGUAGGGUGCAAGCGUUAAUCGGAAUUACUGGGCGUAAAGCGUGCGCAGGCGGUUAUAUAAGACAGAUGUGAAAUCCCCGGGCUCAACCUGGGAACUGCAUUUGUGACUGUAUAGCUAGAGUACGGCAGAGGGGGAUGGAAUUCCGCGUGUAGCAGUGAAAUGCGUAGAUAUGCGGAGGAACACCGAUGGCGAAGGCAAUCCCUUGGGCCUGUACUGACGCUCAUGCACGAAAGCGUGGGGAGCAAACAGGAUUAGAUACCCGUGUAGUCCCUGUCUCUUAUAA
rnacentral:rRNA from 1 species